UUGAACGCUGGCGGCAUGCCUUACCCCUGCAAGUCGAACGGCAGCGCGGGUGCUUGCACCUGGUGGCGAGUGGCGAACGGGUGAGUAAUACAUCGGAACAUGUCCUGUAGUGGGGGAUAGCCCGGCGAAAGCCGGAUUAAUACCGCAUACGAUCUACGGAUGAAAGCGGGGGACCUUCGGGCCUCGCGCUAUAGGGUUGGCCGAUGGCUGAUUAGCUAGUUGGUGGGGUAAAGGCCUACCAAGGCGACGAUCAGUAGCUGGUCUGAGAGGACGACCAGCCACACUGGGACUGAGACACGGCCCAGACUCCUACGGGAGGCAGCAGUGGGGAAUUUUGGACAAUGGGCGAAAGCCUGAUCCAGCAAUGCCGCGUGUGUGAAGAAGGCCUUCGGGUUGUAAAGCACUUUUGUUCGGAAAGAAAUCCUUGGGCCUAAUACGGGCGGGGGAUGACGGUACCGGAAGAAUAAGCACCGGCUAACUACGUG
rnacentral:rRNA from 1 species